UACCAGCACCCCGAGUGGUCGGGACGAUUAUUGGGCCUAAAGCAUCCGUAGCCGGUUCUACAAGUCUUCCGUUAAAUCCACCUGCUUAACAGAUGGGCUGCGGAGGAUACUAUAGAGCUAGGAGGCGGGAGAGGCAAGCGGUACUUAGUGGGUAGGGGUAAAAUCCGUUGAUCCAUUGAAGACCACCAGUGGCGAAGGCGGCUUGCCAGAACGCACUCGACGGUGAGGGGUGAAAGCUGGGGGAGCAAACCGG
rnacentral:rRNA from 1 species